UGGCAGUGAUUUGACAUUACUUCUGAUCUGAUCUGUGAAUCAAAGGGGAAAUAAUGGUUGAUUUUUUCAUAUGGGCCU
rnacentral:snoRNA from 1 species